rnacentral:rRNA from 1 species
ACCCAAUAGAUACCCUGGUAGUCUACGCCGUAAACGAUGCGCACUAGGUACGAGAGCCUCUGACGGCGUUCGUGCCGAAAGCAAAAGUGUUAAGUGCGCCGCCUGGGGAGUGCGGCCGCAAGGCUAAAAACUCAAAGGAAUUGACGGGGGCUCACACAAGCGGUGGAGCAUGUGGAUUAAUUCGAAGCAACGCGAAGAACCUUACCUGGGUUUGACAUGCACGGAUGCCCUUCUGGAAACAGGAGUAAGCUGCCUUCGGGUGAAACGUGCACAGGUGCUGCAUGGCUGUCGUCAGCUCGUGCUGUGAAGUGUCGGGUUAAGUCCCUUAACGAGCGAAACCCCUGUCGCUAGUUGCCAGCGGGUCAUGCCGGGGAACUCUAGCGAGACUGCCGGCGUUAAGCCGGAGGAAGGUGGGGACGACGUCAAGUCCUCAUGGCCCUUAUGCCCAGGGUUUCACACGUGCUACAAUGGAACGUACAAAGCGACGCGAGACCGCGAGGUGGAGCAAAUCGCAAAAAC